UACGUAGGUGGCGAGCGUUGUCCGGAAUGACUGGGCGUAAAGGGAGCGUAGGUUGCGAUUUAAGUUAGGUGUGAAAGCCUGUAGCUUAACUACAGAAUUGCAUUUUAAACUGCUGAGCUAGAGUACAGGAGAGGAAAGCGGAAUUCCUAGUGUAGCGGUGAAAUGCGUAGAUAUUAGGAAGAACACCAGUGGCGAAGGCGGCUUUCUGGACUGAAACUGACGCUGAGGCACGAAAGCGUGGGGAGCAAACAGG
rnacentral:rRNA from 1 species